AUCAUUGAAUCCACUUUGGCCCCACCUUGAUCCUCCCUUGGUUUUAGGAAACGGUCUCCCAAUUCAGACUUCCAAGGCCCCAUCUGCUGAAAUCCAGCCCCUUUCUUUAACUGGACCUGGUCACCAGAGACCUAUCUGGGUGGUAUUUUUGCCCAUGUGAGCCAUUAUUGUUGUUGUUGUUGUUGUUAUUGGUGAAUACUGUUUCAUGUCUCCUCCUACAGCCACAGCCUCUACCUGUCACCAUUUUGGCUGAUAGCAUCUUAAAUGAAUGAAUGAACAAAUGAACGAAUGAAUGAAUGAACCAAUGAGGAAAACCAACAGCAGGGGCUCAUCUUAACAAUGUCAUCCCCUCCUGGGGAAUGCCAACUCACGCAACUG